ensembl:lncRNA
UAGGAGAUUAAAGCCCCGAGCUGACAGCUCUUUAAUCUCUGGUGCUUUGUUAGCAGACCAUGUGGUGUAGAAACAGCAGUGCCUUAUGGGGAAUAGGCCUGGGACGAAGUCAUCCACAACAUUGCACAUCAUCAGCAGCUGAGAUAGAGGAGAGGGAGCGGCACUCUGGGAAUUCCAUGGCAACAAGCUGACCGAGAGACAACAAGAUUCUAGAAAUAUUCCAAAAGAAGAAAUACAGGGAGACAUUCUCGUCUACAUCUGCUCUGGCGGUGAAACAAUGGCAGACUGAUGACAGCUCACUCUGGGCGGGUCUAAGGUAAGACGCCAGUCCAGUCUCCCUUACCAAAAAGUAGUAUACUUCAAGUUUAUUUUAUUAAGUAUACUUAAGUAUAGUUCAAGUAUAUUUAGACUUUUUGUAAGUAUAAGUCAAGUAUACUUAAAUGUCAUUUUAAGUAUAUUUCUGAGAAGUACAUAAAGCCCAUUUCUGAGAAGUACAUAAAAAGUAAACUAAAAGCAUACUUUCCUAUUUUUAGUUUAAAAGAAGUAUACUAAUAGCACACUUGAAUAAACUUCUUUUUCGUAAGGGCUGUGUGGAAAUG